rfam:Pygoscelis adeliae contig79339, whole genome shotgun sequence.
UUAACAGCCUUUUUAAAGGCCAAAAAUACUAAUUGGAAAAAACUGU